rnacentral:ncRNA from 1 species
UUUAAAAGCGCCAGAACUUGUACCAGCGUACGGAACCAGUUGUUGUAAUAACAAUUGGACGGAUGGGCAAGUUGACGAGGUGGAGGUGUUCGGAUUGUUCGGCGGGGACCUCCCGGUAUUCCACCAUACCGUUAAUUCGAGUACGGAAAAGAAACAGGUGACUGUUUUUACAACGAA